rnacentral:rRNA from 1 species
AGAAUCAACGCUGGCGGCGUGCCUAACACAUGCAAGUCGAACGAGAAAGGGUAGCAAUACCUGAGUAAAGUGGCGCACGGGUGAGUAACACGUGACUAACCUACCUUUUAGUGGGGGAUAACCUAGGGAAACCUGGGCUAAUACCGCAUAAUACCUACGGGUCAAAGCAGCAAUGCGCUGAAUGAGGGGGUCGCGGCCGAUUAGCUAGUUGGCGGGUAAUGGCCCACCAAGGCGAUGAUCGGUA